UGUGACUCAUCCUGUGGAAAC
rnacentral:piRNA from 1 species